UUAGGCUUUCGACUAGUCGCCUGAGGUAAAACUCAGGAGGAAAGUCCGGGCAGCAAAGGGAAUGACAGUUGCUAACGGCAACCGGGGGCAACCCUAGGGAAAGUGCCACAGAAACGAAACCGCCAGCUUGCUGGUAAGGGUGAAACGAGCGAGGUAAAAGCUCGCAGUUGGCAUCGGUGACGAUGCGAAGAGGUAAACCCUGUCUGCUGCAAGGAGAUGUGUCCUCACACGGUUUCCCGCCGAGGGCUUGUCAUAAGAUCCGCUCGAUUCUAGGGGUAACCUUAGAACUAGAUAGAUGACUAGAUAGAACAGAACCCGGCUUACGGAUCGCCUGACACU
rnacentral:RNase_P_RNA from 1 species